GGGGUGGUGGCGCAGUUGGCUAGCGCGUAGGUCUCAUAGCUAAGACGUGAGUGAUCCUGAGGUCGAGAGUUCGACCCUCUCUCACAACU
rfam:Triticum aestivum genome assembly, contig: Triticum_aestivum_CS42_TGACv1_scaffold_513253_6BS